ACCCGUGCAAAGCCCCGCGCACGUGGGGCACCACUUCGUACGACCAGGUUACCGAGGAAGAGACGGCGGCGGCCUAUGUGUACAAGAUGGACAAGCCGUGGCUGACGGCAGACGAGGUGAGGGUGGAGAUCCGGCGGGGCCGUGCCUUGCGGUUGAUCGGAUGAGGGGACGAGACCGUCAAGGUGAAGUUGCAGAGGAACAGCGAGAUGAGGGUGAGAGAGGCCACGGCUUCUCUAAGCGAGGACGGGGUGCUCACCGUCGUGAUCCCGAAGAGGCACCGGCCUCGGAAGUGGUACGAGUACGCGGACUUGGUGUUUAUAUGGUUCGAAACGAUCCGCGUUGAGGUUUCUAGUUAAAUUGGUUUUAGCAAUGUGUCAUAUAGCAGCAUGGUUAAAGUGUUCGAACGAUUCAUCUGCUUUGUGGUAUCCGGACUUCUGUUUUCCCAAAUAAGUACUGUCUUGAAUCGGUUUAACGUGAUAAUUUCACUAUUAAUGACGUUGGUGUUUGUGAUUAUUGUGCCGUU